UACAGAGGGUGCGAGCGUUGUCCGGAAUCACUGGGCGUAAAGGGCGCGUAGGCGGCUUUUCAAGCGUGCGGUGAAAGCUCGGGGCUUAACUCCGAGUCUGCCGUGCGAACUGGGAGGCUUGAGUCUGGUAGAGGUCGAUGGAAUUCCGGGUGUAGCGGUGGAAUGCGUAGAGAUCCGGAAGAACACCGGUGGCGAAGGCGGUCGACUGGGCCAGUACUGACGCUGAGGCGCGAAAGCGUGGGGAGCGAACAGG
rnacentral:rRNA from 1 species